AACAUGAAAUAAAGUUAUUUGCAAAUAACAUCGAUUAAUUACAGCACAUAUGUACUUUAUUAACCAAAAAUUAUUAAAAUUCGUCUAAAGUUAUAAAUCGAUGUUUGCGCCACCUUGUAUUCUACACAGUGGCAACAUACAUAUAUGUCUUGGAUUCAACCGAAAUUUCGCUAGAGGUGCAUACCCAGCUUGAAAUUGUCUUGCAAUGGUUACAAAGUCAAAUAAUUGAUUAUUCGAAAGUCGACUUUUAUUUUGUUGUACAUUGUUUGUACGAAGGUCAAAAAUGUAACCAAAAAGAGUGUUGUCGGGAAAAUCAAACGUUGAACUUGCAGACCAAAUACCUAAAAUUCCAAAAUGGCUCAAAAUUUUCCCGAUUAUUAUUAAAUUUGGGACAGUGAUUUGCAUCCUUAAUAUGGCCCACUUGCAAUCCUAACUCAUUUGAACUAUAUGGCGGCUCCGACAGGCGGCCGGAGGGACAUGUCUAGAUCAACUUAAAAUGUCAAAACUACCAACAAUGAAUUUGCCUUAUAGGGUCGGAUAUCAAUACUGCAUGUGAAGGUGUUGCAAAUGGUGUUAUGUCUGAAAAUAAAAUCCUUCACCGGGUGAAUAUUUUAAUAUGGUACUGAAUAUACACUUGGACAACAAAUUGUACAAUAAUUUAAAAUUAAUUUUAUCAUAUUUCUGAUGAUGAAUGUUCGUGUUAACAAUGUACUUGACAUUUAGAAAAUUAACAAAUUGUAAUUUAGCUGACCUUUUUAAAAAGCAUUGGCACUUAAAAUUUAAGCUUUCGCAAUCUCUUAGCGGAAUAAAGACUAAAACAGUUAUAUAUGUACCUACAUAGUAUACAGUCGUUUUCCACAUGUUGCUGUUGUAUAUGUGGCCGAUUUCUUCAAAGAUGUUUCCAUAUUAAAGUUUUACACGAUGAACCAAAAAAAGUAAAAUAUUUUAAACAUAUUUGACUCCUAUUCAUGCUAAAGUAC